rnacentral:lncRNA from 1 species
GAAGGCGAGAGACCCCGAGGAGGGGGGACCCCCGCGGGGCUGGAGGGCGGCGGGGGGCAGAGGAGCGGACCCCCCGGCUCGCAGCGCCUGCCCCGGUUUGCCCAGCCUCUGCCGCCAGGGAGGGCAGCUCCCCACCGGCCGCGUGUCCCGGGGCGCCCCGCUGCUUGGAGCCACCUGGGCUGGGCAUUGGCCUCCGGCAGGUCCCGCGCUUCCUUUCCGCCCGGGGCUGGAUAUGUGGAUGCUCACGCGAAGAUGGAUUUAGUCUACGGGCUGGUGUGGCUGCUGACGGUGCUGCUGGAGGGGAUCUCCGGCCAAGGGGUGUACGACUUGCCUGGAGAAGAAUCCCUUUCUCUGUCCUUUGUCAUCCUCCUGGUUGUUUUGUAUCCUCAUGGGAAAGAUUAGAGUCUCCCUGGGACAGGAAAAGAAAAGGAGAGGGAGGGAGAAAAGGAGGCCAAGUGACUACAUUGGAUGAACAGGAAUCACAUCUAUAAUGCGGGGAGAGACACUGUGAGAAGAAGAAUGUGAGUUGUGUGGGAGGGCACUGAUGGGACGUGCACUAGUAAAUUACUGGGCUACCCCAGACCUGUUGCUUGGGUUUGUGUAACAGUAUUGCCAAGGAAUCAGCAAAUCCAAAGGGUUUGGAGUGAUGCUUUGAAACAAACUCCAUGAACGAUGAGGCCACCUGGGCUGUGUGUGUUUUGAAGGGAGAUUUUACAGCUCCCCCCCCCCACACUUAUUGUUCAAGAAAGGGUUAGUUUCUUUUCAGAUCUCUUACUUUCUCAGU